AUGGCUGUGUGUGGCAUGCACAGUGCGCUUGGUGAAACCAAAGCCAAACCCGAAGUGAAGAAUGAAGAACAGAGGUCUGUGAUAGAAAAGUUUCCAUCAAGUGUUCCUGUGAUUGGUCCUGCAAUGAAAGGAGUAGCUUCCGUGGGCAGUCACAAGGACGAGUUCUUUUCAACCUUGCAGCACUCUUGGCUUGGCUUGUGGCUGUUGUGGCUAGAUGUUAGGAUUUCGUCCAGAUUAUUGCUGAAGCUAGCCAACGGGAAAAGACUAUCUAGAAGAGAGAGGAGCCAGCUGACCCGCACAGCUGCAGACUUAUUCAAGCUGGUCCCCUUUUUGGUUUUUGUCGUAGUCCCAUUCUCUGUUUUUCACUGCACCAAAACCAUUGCAGCUCUGGAUAGUGGAUAG
rnacentral:rRNA from 1 species